GCAUCGUGGUCGAGUGGUAAGGACACUUGCCUUUUAUUCUGGAGUCCCGGGUUUGAUCCCCGGUCAAGAAACU
rnacentral:tRNA from 1 species